GCCUCGUUAGCUCAGUUGGUAGAGCAGCUCCCUCUUAAGGAGAUGGUCGUGGGUUCGAAUCCCUCACGAGGUA
rnacentral:tRNA from 2 species